AGAUUGAUAGCUCUUUCUUGAUUCUAUGGGUGGUGGUGCAUGGCCGUUCUUAGUUGGUGGAGUGAUUUGUCUGGUUAAUUCCGAUAACGAACGAGACCUUAACCUGCUAACUAGAUAUGCUCAUUAUAUGGGUACAAUCUUCUUAGAGGGACUAUGUUUUGAUAAAUGCAUGGAAGUUUGAGGCAAUAACAGGUCUGUGAUGCCCUUAUAUGUCCUGGGCUGCACGCGUGCUACACUGAUGCAUACAACAAGUAUCCAAGCCCGUCAGGGUGAGGUAAUCUCGAAUAUGCAUCGUGAUGGGGAUAGAUCUUUGCAAUUAUAGAUCUUGAACGAGGAAUUCCUAGUAAAUGCAAGUCAUCAUCUUGCGUUGAUUAUGUCCCUGCCCUUUGUACACACCGCCCGUCGCUCCUACCGAUACCGGGUGAUCCGGUGAACCCUUUUGGACCGUUUUACGGAAAGAUAAGAAACCUAUCACCUAGAGGAAGGAGAAGUCAACCAGC
rnacentral:rRNA from 1 species